UCUCGAAAAGCCGGGUCUCAGUCCGGAUUGGAGUCUGCAACUCGACUCCAUGAAGCUGGAAUCGCUAGUAAUCGCGCAUCAGCCAUGGCGCGGUGAAUACGUUCCCGGGCCUU
rnacentral:ncRNA from 1 species